rnacentral:rRNA from 1 species
AAUCAACGCUGGCGGCGUGCCUAACACAUGCAAGUCGAACGCGAAAGCCCCGCAAGGGGCAAGUAGAGUGGCAAACGGGUGAGUAACGCGUGGGUGACCUACCUUCGAGUGGGGGAUAACGUUCCGAAAGGGACGCUAAUACCGCAUGACAUUCUGCCUUUGAAGAGGUGGAAAUCAAAGCCUGGGACCGCAAGGCCAGGCGCUUGAAGAGGGGCCCGCGUCCGAUUAGCUAGUUGGUGAGGAACGGCUCACCAAGGCUUCGAUCGGUAGCCGGCCUAAGAGGGCGGACGGCCACACUGGGACUGAGACACGGCCCAGACUCCUACGGGAGGCAGCAGUGGGGAAUUGUUCGCAAUGGGCGCAAGCCUGACGACGCAACGCCGCGUGGAGGAUGACGGCCU